GGCCUCCCAAGUCAUGUUGAACUGUUGUCUCCCCACAGAACAGCAGCCGCUGCCACUGCAGAGUGCCACAGAAUGGACCAAAGACAAAGGCCAAGGUGGAGGAUAAAAUCGUCUCCACCCCUGCUUGCCUGGGGCCUCAGCUGAGCAUCAUUGUUGGAAUAACUCAACCAAUGUUGAUGUGAUACCACUGGCAGCUCUUCCUUGGGUCUGAAAAAUCUGUGGCAAACAAGCUUCCUAACACGAACUUAUCUCCUCAGUGCUCACGGUUAAAACAAGUUUUCCCAAAAAAUUAAUGAGUAUUUCCAUAAGGGAUGAAAAUAUUUUAAAAACUUGAAUCACACUUCAAGACAAAAGCCUGAAGAUGGAGCUUUGAGUCCUGACUCCCUGCCUGAGGUUCUCAUCUGUGGAAUGUUCCAGCAGUUGCAUCCAUCUUCCUGUUUUCUGUAUGGUUGCUUGUCCCCUAAGUGAACACAUUUACCUCUUCUACAGAAAGUCCUGGAUUGAAAGAAGCUGUUUUGGGGGACCUGAGCUGUCACCACUUGUUUCCUCAGAGAGAUUUGGCAGAAGGGGUGGCUGUGUAGCCCUGUCCUCCCCCUGCUCCUCAGCAAAACCUUCUGGGAGAGGCUUUCCCCAGGGAAGGAGGAGGAAUGCUCUUCCCGCGAGGGUGGCAAACGGCAGCCGAGCCUCCUGGUUAGAGCUUCCAACAAACUCUCAGUGCCCAACUGUGGGGGAUUUCUUCAAGGCAAAACAGAAACAGUUAAUUCAGAAAUCUCUGUGCUUUUAUGCUGAUUUUGUUACUUAAGUUGCUUUAAUACCUGUAUGAAAGCAGAAUAUAAAAUUAGCAAAUGGACUUUUCUAAAUCAUUUCAUUUUCUUUCAAAAAUAACUUAAAAAAUUUUUUUUUUACCUGAAGUGAUCAACAUUGUACGUUCUGAAAGUGUAAAGGGACUGAAAAGACAGGCUGAAAAAUAAAGUAAGAAGAAGAUUGUACAACAUUUCUAGCUGCCUUUUUUUCCUUUGAUAAGGGAACCCAUGCAGUCAGCUAAGAGCUGCCACCAAGAUCAAGGCCCUGCAGGGCACCGAUGAGCAGGAUCACCGGGAGCGCUGUGUUUACAGGGAUUUCAUUUUUCAUUUUGAAGGGUUGCCACGUCACUUUCCCAAGUUUUGCGGGGCAGAGUGAGGCUUCAUCAAGACAUGCAUCCAUGGACUGGGCGAAAUUCCAGUGUCCAUUAUUUCCUGGGGAAAGCGUGUAAGAGGCUCUCUCUAUCGCUCUUCUUACUUCUGCAUCCCCCAGAACACACAUACACAGUCACAGUCACACAUGUUUGCACCAAACACGGCCUCACUCUCACAAGACACUCACGAAGGUACGUUGACAGUCUCACAGGGUCACAAACAUGCACUAGAAAUCUGACACACACACACACACAUCCAAUCUCUCUCUGACACACACACACUAUCUCACACACACAUGCUCCUCUGCUCUGCUGAGUCAUCAGUCUUGGAUCUCAGCCUCAGCACGUGUGGGGCCUGCCCUGUGGGAGGCUGUUGAACACAGAGGGAAGCUGAGGUUGCACUGUCCACCUCCUCAUUACCAUAAUGAUUGCGUUCAGCAUCCUUCAUCAGCACAGGAGCACUAAGGGUUGGAGAGGACGUGCAUCACCUUUACUCGCACAGCUGCUCACAUCGGGCACUUGAGACGUGUAUUUGCUGGGACACUUGGGAGUGAAAUGGCUUGUGGAAUUUAGUCUCGUGUCAGUCUUCAGCUUUAAGUUUCAAGCGAUCCUGCUCUGGGAAUAAAUAUUGAGUACGACGUAGAAAACAGCUUUUCUUCAAGGACCUCUGAAAGCCAUGUAAGCACCAUUCUUUGAUAAACAUUCUCAUCCCAACUGAUGGAGGGAAAAGCCAGGAACAGGGUCCCAGGGAGGCCAAAGGGGUUCCCGACUGGGAAUGAGAAGCCAUCCCUUCAGGACUCUGCUGUGCCCCGACAGCAGGCACAGGAGGCGUGGUCCCUGCCUUUCCCCCACCUCACCUGCCCUUUCCCGCUGGAGUAAAUGGGAAGAGAGCUCUGCUCAAGCCUCAGCCUCCAGGACUCUCCAUCAUACCAGCUGCCUCAGGCAAAUUAAGCACAGCAAAUGCUGCUCUGUUCAGGGCUCCUCCCUGUUUAUUGCAAGACGGUGGUUCUCAAACCUGACCUUCUGGGACACUUAACGAUUACCCUUGACUUUUGAAUCUCUCCAUGAUAUCUGAUAACAGUCGAGUGUGGAUUUCUUGGUGAAGUGAGGUCUCUCCCUCCACCUUUGCCCAUGGAAUUGAGUGACGGUCACCCCUCAUUGACUCUGCGGAGAGCUGGUGCCUCCUACAGCAGAACAAGCAGGAAAUAGCGCAGCAGAGAGCAUCUUACAAGCCAGAGGGGCAGCAGAGGCAGCACGGGGCAGAGCUGGGCGGUGAGGAAACUGAGCAUCAGCUGCUGGAGCAGCUGCCGUGAGGGAACUGGCUGGGUUUAUCUCAAGAGGCUGUGCUGCUGGGGCCGACCAUUGGUGGGAGGUCCCAUGCUCACCGGGACAUAAGGCCGCCUGUGCACGAACCGUGUGGCAGCUGGCGUCCUUUGUUUCAACAAACAGAACUGCAUUUCCAACUAAAAAACCCAAGUGUGAAAUUUGUAGACACCGUGUAUCAGAGGGAAGAACUUGAGAAGAUUAACUAAACUUCUGGAACCUCAACCGCUCUCCCUUGUGCACCUCACGCCUCGAUGAGAUGAUGAAAUGUGAUACCGCGCAUAUCGAUGACUUGUCAGAAGUUGAUGUGCAGCAGAGAGUAGCAACUCUGACAAUAAAAGGGGUGAAUAAAUUAUUAUCCUUUAACCUCAAUCUCAGUAUCAGAUGAAGAAGUUCCCCUGGGGUGAUGCUGGUGACCCUCACAUUUCCCGCCUUGCACUGAGCACAAUGUCGAAGGCUGACAAAGAUGAACGACUACAAUCAAUUCUAUAACUGCAAACUCAGACCUAUUAAAUAAAAGUUCAUUUCUGCUUCUCAAUCUUGGAGGCUAUUGUGGGCCUCACUAAAAAUCGACAAGUGAAAAAUUCUGAAAUAAAUGAGACUUAAUAACACAACUUAGAAACCAGUGCUCUUAUAAUCAAAUGGAUAACUUAAUUUAUUAUAUACCAUUAAAAUAUUUCAAAAUAGAAUCAAAUCAUGACACAAACCCAAAGUGAAAAAAGCAUUUUAUUUUCAUACAAAUUUUAUCACACAGUUUUAUUUGUCUUGGACAUUGCACAUCAAGUCCUCUUAUUCAUUUUUAUUUUAAUCAGACAAGAUUUUUCAGAACCUUGCCUACUUUUGAAACAACGUCAUUCAAAGUAGAUGUUAGUGGUCCAGUUUACACUUUAGAUCAUGUACAGACAAAAUAAGAAUGAACGUUGAACACAGGAUGUGGAAGGGGCGCAAGUUAGUGUCUACAUUUAGAACCUCCAGUAGUUCUUACAAACAUAAGCUUAAUUUUACAGUACAGGAGGGCUCAAAGAUCUGUACCAUUGCCACAUGGUGGGGCCUGUAUGCCCCUGUGAUGGCUGAAAGUUGAUCUUGUGCCUCAAUUACACAAUGAUUGGUUCCACCAUGUAAUGAGAAAAUCUCAACGGGCUACUAGUUAACUACCAAGCCUUGUUAUUUUCGGAGUAUCUUGCAUCUUUCCAGCAGUAGCUUAUUUAGGGGAGGCAGGUAGGAAAUGUCCUCCCACUUAGGAAGCUUCAGAACAUGUUACAGUAGGUAAUUAGGCAAACAUGAGCAGGGCAGAAGAGGGCCCCACACCAGUAUUGUCAGGAGACCAUCCAGUGAUGGUCAGGUGGUUGUUAAACUGUCUCUUUAAAAUAAUAAUUGGUUGUAGUUGGCACCAGGGAGAGGCAGUCUCCUAACAGAUAGAAAAGCCUGAAACUGGUGAUCAGCAGCUUCCUAAUAAUAUCUCAGGAGUUGGAUGAGUGGGCUCAAGCAUACACACUGAGAGGCAAAAAUGGUGGCAUCUGACUGCUAUACGAUCUUCCUCUAGGAACAUUCAGCUGGCAAGGGAAAAUGCCUCAAGUGAGUAUGUUCACAACUCCAGUAAUCACACUGCGCAUGCGGCCCCUCCCAAGUGCUGGCAGGUCACUGCACAUACUGACAGCCUACUGCAAUGAAAGAAUCAGGGGAGAAUGGACACAAGACCCCGGAAGGAUGCCAAUGUAUGAAACCCCAAGUCAAAGCAACCUAUGUACUUGGAUCUCUCAAGUUGCCCACUUGGCCCUCUUCCAAGUGUACCUUACUUCCUUUUGUUCCUGCUCUAAAACCUUUUAAUAAACUUUCACUCCUGCUUUAAAACUUGCUUCAGUCUCUCCCUCUACCUCAUGUUCCUUGGUCAAAUUCUUUCUUCUGAGGAGGCGAGAAUUGAGGUUGCUGUAGACGCGUGUAGAUUCACCAGUGCUAACAAACACAGUUUACUGAACUGUUGCAGGUUCCACCCUCACUUCCGUGAAAGCAACGUGAGCCAAUUGUGACCCAUCAUGUCAGUAGUUUCAGUGGUGGGAUUGCAUGAAAAACACAAUGGUGAAACUCAUUCCUUUUAAAUGACAGUUCUGUACAAGUGUUCCUUCCUACUGAGAUUCCCAUGACGUUCGUCUCCAGGGUUGCGUUAGCAUUUCUCCAAGGAAGCUUGUCCCAGCCCUUUGAGUAGGAGCUGCACUGCAGGGCUGGAAUGAUGGGUUGGAAGGUCGCUCUCACUAAUAUGAGCUAUGGUGACUUCGUGCAAGUGAAUUGUGAACAGUAAUUCAGCUGAACUAAAUGGGAGCACUCAGGAAAACUUAAGGCAAAGGGGAAAAAGGAGUUAGAGUAGACAUGAGACUCACAAAGCUUACGUGGGAUUUCUUGAGAAAGAGCCUCCUCAGGUACUCAGUUGAUGGCCCAUGGCAAGACUGAAAUUAUUGCCAAGUUCGCUAGUGAGUGGGAUUUAAGAUAAUAAAAACUCCACAUUGCUAAAAGCCAAAAAGCCAAACUUUGUGCCAUGUUUUAUGUCAGAAAAUGUGCUUAUAGAAUGCCACAUAGGCCAAAGUUCACACUUAUUUUUUUUUCUCAAUUUGAAAAGGAAGUGGGGGUUACAACAAUGUCUCACAUAUCCCACUGUGUAUUUACAGUGGAGUUAGUUUUUCCAAGCCAGAAAAACAAGACCCCUCAGCUGUCAGAUAUCAAACUGGAUCAACAUUACCGAUGCAUUAGUAGAUAAUUCUCCGUAUUAGUUCUCAUGUUUCUAUUACGUAUAACUUACUUUUUAACCACAGCUUUGCUUUAAACUAUAAUUAAAAAGUCAACUGAAUCUCUGUGAAAACAAAUGGCUCCUGAGAUUUUGAAACUACCAGAAACUACCAGAAAUUUAAACAGCCUCAGGAGACAGCACCUACAGGAAUAAUGACAAGCCUGUAGAUUGCAUACCGAAAAUUACUUAGUUGUUAACUAAUUUAUGACUUGGAAUUUUGAUAAUAACUUUCAGCCAGUAGGGUCAUUGUGAAGACUUUAAAACUGCUGUGCAAGUCAGAAUGUGACUCAGCCACAGAGAACUGAGACUUUUUCAAUCUGAGGGCAUGGUGGGAGGUGGGUCCUUCCUAACUACCUUGUGGGGGUACAGGAAGAAAGAGAAAGAUCCCCACAGAGGCUGACUGUGUUGGCCUAAGUGUGGGGAUUUCCACCAAGCACCCUAGUGAUGCCCAUGCUGCUGGCCUAAGGACCUUGCUGUGGGCACCACAGGACUUGGGACUUCACCCCUCAGAGUGGGAAGCUUCUCUUCCUCAUCUGGCCUGUGCUGGAACCCACGGUGAACGGCUUCUUGGAGCAGAAUGUGCAACUCUGACAGAGAGUAAAUUCUUCCUCAUGUUAAACUGAGGAUUGCGCAACCCCUGAUAUGGCAGUCUUGCUGAUACAACUUGCUGCAAAGAGACACCCACACUUUUCCCAGGGCUGAGAAGACAAGCAGUUGAUGAUCUAUAUUGUGGCUGUACUUGUGAACCUGGGAGCUGACAGGCAGGAUCACUGAACCCCUCCCUCAAAUCUGAGGAAGUCUAAGGGCUAUGAUCCCUGUGGUCAGCUGGCCGAGGCAUUCUCCCUAGAAACAGGCCUCUGCAUGGAUUCAAGUUCACUGAUUUGCUGAAGAGUUGUUAGGAUUCUGUCCAGGAGGGACAGACAUUCCACCCUCACUCUCAUCAACCCCCAAAACGUGUAGGUUUGGAUAAAUCCCAGGGAUCAUCCUCAAUUGGCUCAUUUAAAGAUAGAGAAGUCUGGGCACAGUGGUUCACGCCUGUAAUCCUAGCACUUUGGGAGGCCGAGGCAGGUGGAUCACAAGGUCAGGAGUUCGAGACCAGCCUGACUAACAUGGUGAAACCCCGUGUCUACUAAAAAUACAAAAAUUAGCUGGGCAUGGUGGCACGCACCUGUAACCCCAUCUACUCAGGAGGCUGAGGCAGGAGAAUCACUUGAACCUAGGAGAUGGAGGUUGCAGCAAGACGAGAUUGCGCCACUGCACUCCAGCCUGGGUGACACAGCGAGACUCUGUCUCAGAAAAAAAAAAAAAAAAAGAUGGGGAAGCAGAGGCUUUUGGAGAGGAAGAAACUCCCUUGGGAUUCACAUGUUGCGAUUGAGGUUGCACCAAGACCAGUGUCAAGCGUGUGGCACCUUUUCCUUCACAAUACACGACCUGAGACACUAAAGUUGACAGUAUAUUCUGGAUUCAGUUAGAUGCCUUUAGCUCAUCACAGAAACCUUAAAACAGUGCUUUUAAAAAUAAAUUACCAUGCAAGGAAAAACUGGAUUCUUGUAAAACAGUAAGUACUAUCUAUGUAUACAGGCUUAAGAAUAAAAACAGAUGUGUCAAGAAACGAAGUAAAUCACCCACAGUCUGAUCAUAGUAAGACAAUCCUGUCUUGUUGCAGACUAAAAGUUUGUGUCCCCCAAAACUCAUAUGUUGAAAUCGAGUCCCCCAUGUGAUCAUACUUGGAGGUGGGGCCUUUGGGAGGUAAUUAGGUCAUGAGAGUGGAGCCUCAUAAGUGGAUGAGUGCCCUUACGAAAAGAGGACCUGGAGCCAGCUCACUUUCUCACUGCCAUGUGGGGCACAAGAGGGGCUUCACCAGAAGCUGACCACGCUGGCACUCUGAUCUCAGACUUCCAGUCUCCGGAACUGCGAGAAAUAAAUGUUUGCUGUUUACCAGUCGGUGAUAAUUUUCCCAGCAGCUAGGGUUGACUGAGACAUGGCUGGAAAAGAGGCCAAGCAUCAUCAUGGCCAAACUUCUUCUCUUCUUAGAGCCAACACUUCCUCAGGGGGCACUUAACACCCCUGUCCCAUCACACUCCACUUACUGAAGCAAAUUCUCCCACCUGAUCACAUACAGACGGGCCAGCUCUGAGGAGACAUGCAAUCUCCUUGUGAAACUCAUCACUCUUGAAGCGUGAUAUGAAGCAAUGUCCUUAUAGUGCUCACCUAAAUGGAUAAAUGGCACCAGUCUUCUGAUGGGAAAAUCCACAGGAAAAGUUCAAGUCUUGACCCUAAUUACAGAAGAAAUGAGCUCACUGCAGUCAUGAAACUCUGAGUCUAGAAGUGUCAUUUCCACACCGAGCCAGGCAGUUUCUUUAUUCCCUGAACCAUAUGUUUAUUUCUUAGCUGAACUAUUCUGUGAGUGGUUGUCAAGAACUAAGAUUUGUUAAAUUUGUUUAUUUUUGCUUUUCUCUCAGCUCAAAAUUAGAAACAUAUGUUCAUCACCUCCACAUAUGAGUAGUUCAGCAUGAACUGUUUUUCUCAUUUUAUUCCGAGCAGAUUAGUCAAAAUAGUUCUCAUUUCAAUGUUGACCUGAAAAAAGUAAGACAUGCUUGACUUAUUUUAUUAAUUGUGUUUCCUUUAUAAACUAGCAAAUGAACUUAAUUAACUGAAAUAUGGCCGUGCAUCUCAGUGACAUAAUGAGCGAUACUUUCAGGUGAGAGAUGCUAAAGGCAUCAUUAAGCCUGUGGAAGCAACAUGAAGAGACACAUCAGAGGCAUCAAGUCCCAUAGUUCAUGUCUGAAGUAGAGACUGCUAAUGGAAUCUGGGACUUUUCAUCUCCAGUGUUC
rnacentral:lncRNA from 1 species